rnacentral:lncRNA from 1 species
AUGACACUUCUAAGUAGAGCUUUGGGUAUGCUUUUCUAUUUACUUCAAGCUGUUUCUGGAGAAAGUGGCUAUGCAGAAAAUGGAGAUUUUGAUGACACAGAACUGGAUGACUACUCAUUCUCAUGCUACAGUCAGCUGGAAGUGGAUGGACUCCAGCACUUGCUGACCUGCACGUUUGAUGACUCGGACAUCAACAGCACCAAUCUGGAACUUGAAAUAUGUGGGGCGCUUUUGGAUGUAUAUUGCCUGAAUUUUAAUAAACUGCAAGAGAGGUAUUUCCUCAAGACAAAGAAAUUCUUACUGAUUGGAGACAGUAAAAUAUGUGUGAAGCUUGAAAAAAAGAACAUGACUUGCAGAAAAGUGAACAUAGUGAAGAUAGUUAAACCUGAGGCUCCUUUUGACAUCAGAGUCAUCUAUCGUGAAGGAGCAAAUGACUUUGUGGUGACAUUUAAUACAUCACACUUGCAGAAGAAGUAUGUGAAAGUAUUAAUACAUGAGGUAGCCUACCGUCAGGAAAAAAAUGAAAAUAAUUGGAUGCGUGUGAAUUUAACCAGUACCAAGCUGACACUCCUACAGAGGAAACUGCAACCCAAUGCCAUGUAUGAGAUUAAAGUUCGGUCCAUCCCUUACGCCAACUAUUUUGAAGGCUUCUGGAGUGAAUGGAGUCCAAGUUUCCACUUUAGAACUCCAGAGACCAAUGGCACAGAAUUAAGCCUAUCAUAUGGCCCAGUCUCCCUGAUCAUAAGAAGACUCUGGAACAACUGUGCAAGAAACCAAAAAAAGUGA